rnacentral:rRNA from 1 species
UACGAAGGGGGCUAGCGUUGUUCGGAAUCACUGGGCGUAAAGCGCACGUAGGCCGAUUGUUAAGUCAGGGGUGAAAUCCUGGAGCUCAACUCCAGAACUGCCCUUGAUACUGACGGUCUCGAGUCCGGGAGAGGUGAGUGGAACUGCGAGUGUAGAGGUGAAAUUCGUAGAUAUUCGCAAGAACACCAGUGGCGAAGGCGGCUCACUGGCCCGGUACUGACGCUGAGGUGCGAAAGCGUGGGGAGCAAACAGG